rnacentral:rRNA from 1 species
AACAGGAUUAGAUACCCUGGUAGUCCACGCCCUAAACGAUGUCUACUAGUUGUCGGGUUUUAAUUAACUUGGUAACGCAGCUAACGCGUGAAGUAGACCGCCUGGGGAGUACGGUCGCAAGAUUAAAACUCAAAGGAAUUGACGGGGACCCGCACAAGCGGUGGAUGAUGUGGAUUAAUUCGAUGCAACGCGAAAACCUUACCUACCCUUGACAUGGAAGGAAUCCCGGAGAGAUCUGGGAGUGCCCGAAAGGGAACCUUCACACAGGUGCUGCAUGGCUGUCGUCAGCUCGUGUCGUGAGAUGUUGGGUUAAGUCCCGCAACGAGCGCAACCCUUGUCAUUAGUUGCUACGCAAGAGCACUCUAAUGAGACUGCCGGUGACAAACCGGAGGAAGGUGGGGAUGACGUCAAGUCCUCAUGGCCCUUAUGGGUAGGGCUUCACACGUCAUACAAUGGUACAUACAGAGGGCCGCCAACCCGCGAGGGGGAGCUAAUCCCAGAAAGUGUAUCGUAGUCCGGAUUGUAGUCUGCAACUCGACUACAUGAAGUUGGAAUCGCUAGUAAUCGCGGAUCAGCAUGUCGCGGUGAAUACGUUCCCGGGUCUUGUACACACCGCCCGUCACACCAUGGGAGCGGGUUUUACCAGAAGUAGGUAGCUUAACCGCAAGGAGGGCGCUUACCACGGUAGGAUUCGUGACUGGGGUGAAGUCGUAACAAGGUAACC